rnacentral:rRNA from 1 species
GACGAACGCUGGCGGCGUGCUUAACACAUGCAAGUCGAACGGAAAGGCCCUGCUUUUGUGGGGUGCUCGAGUGGCGAACGGGUGAGUAACACGUGAGUAACCUGCCCUUGACUUUGGGAUAACUUCAGGAAACUGGGGCUAAUACCGGAUAGGAGCUCCUGCUGCAUGGUGGGGGUUGGAAAGUUUCGGCGGUUGGGGAUGGACUCGCGGCUUAUCAGCUUGUUGGUGGGGUAGUGGCUUACCAAGGCUUUGACGGGUAGCCGGCCUGAGAGGGUGACCGGCCACAUGGCGACUGAGAUACGGCCCAGAAGCCUACGGGAGGCAGAAGUGGGGAAUAUUGCGCAAUGGGCGGAAGCCUGAUGCAGCAACGCCGCGUGCGGGAUGACGGCUUUCGGGUGGAAAACCGAUUUCGCCUGUGACGAAGCGUGAGUGACGGUAAUGGGUAAAGAAGCACCGGCUAACUACGUG